UACAGAGGGGGCAAGCGUUAUUCGGAAUUAUUGGGCGUAAAGGGCGCGUAGGCGGCCUGGCAAGUGACGGGUGAAAGCCCUCGGCUCAACCGAGGAACUGCCUGUCAUACUGCCGGGCUUGAGUCCGGGAGAGGUGAGUGGAAUUCCCAGUGUAGCGGUGAAAUGCGUAGAGAUCGGGAGGAACAUCAGUUGCGAAGGCGGCUCUCUGGACCAGCACUGACACUGAGGCACGAAAGCCAGGGGAGCAAACGGG
rnacentral:rRNA from 1 species